AGUCUUCCACUAGCAGCCUUUCAGAUGAAGAUGUAGAACUCUCAGCUACUCCCGAACCAUGCCUGCCUGAAUGCUGCCAUGUCCCCGCCUUGAUGAUACUGGACUGAACCUCUGAACCUCUGGAAGAAAUGUUAUAUUUUUGGCUUGACCAUCACCUCUUGCCAUCGGUGUGACUAUAAACAGGGCUGCUUGCUCCAGCAAUGUUGCUGUACUUGACGGGCUCAGGGAACAUUAUGGAAGAGAAGGCAGGAAGAAUGCAAGAUAUGAAAGAAGAAGAGAUCAGAGACAUAACUGUCCUCUGAAAGGUUCCAUCCAGCAGCUGACAGAAACAGAUGCACAGACCCACAGCCAAACAUUGGGCAGAGCUCUGGGAGUCUUAUGGAAGAGUUGGGGUAAAGACUGAAGUCCCUGAAGGAGAUAGGGACUCUAUAGGAUGACCAACAGAGCCAACUAACCUAAACCUUUGGGGGCUCUCAGAGACUGAGAGACCAACCAAAGAACACACAUUGGUCUGUCUUGUCUGGCCUCAGUGGGAGAGGACACAGAUAACCCUGCAGAGACUUGAUGUGCCAGUGUAGGGGGCUAUGGGGGGAGUGGGGAUGGGUGUCCACUCUCUCAUAGCAGAAGGGGAAGGGGGAUGGGGGAAGGUACUGUGGGAGGAGAGGACUGAGAGAGGGGGAUAGCAUUUGGGAUAUAAAUAAAUAAACAAAAAUUUAAAAACCAAAAGGUAAGAAAGUAGAAAGUUAAAAACACAGAAAACAUGAAAACCACUAAUUUUAUCACUGCCCUUUUCCAUUAUAUCUCUAAUAAUUUUAUAGAGUAUUAUACUAAUAUAUUUGUUACUAUGUCAUACUUUGGAAUAAAAACAUUCAAGUAUAGAGACAAACAACAUUCUAAAAUUUCUGAUGACCACAAACUUUACGUGGAUGAUACAUAUAAUUUUUGUGGGCUAGAUUAUCACUAUAAGUAAGAAAUUUUAGGAAACGUUCUUAAAUAUGAAAUAUUAAUAAAAAGAAAAAGAAA